CUCUGGUUAGCUCAGUUGGUAGAGCGCUCCACUGGAAAUUGACAAGUCCCGGGUUGGAUACCCGGACCAGGCG
rnacentral:tRNA from 2 species